CCUACGGGAGGCAGCAGUGGGGAAUAUUGGACAAUGGGCGAAAGCCUGAUCCAGCAAUGCCGCGUGAGUGAAGAAGGCCUUCGGGUUGUAAAGCUCUUUUACCCGGGAAGAUAAUGACUGUACCGGGAGAAUAAGCCCCGGCUAACUCCGUGCCAGCAGCCGCGGUAAUACGGAGGGGGCUAGCGUUGUUCGGAAUUACUGGGCGUAAAGCGUACGUAGGCGGCUUUGUAAGUCAGAGGUGAAAGCCCACGACUCAAUCGUGGAACUGCCUUUGAGACUGCUUCGCUUGAAGAUGGGAGAGGUUAGUGGAAUUCCGAGUGUAGAGGUGAAAUUCGUAGAUAUUCGGAAGAACACCAGUGGCGAAGGCGGCUAACUGGACCAUUCUUGACGCUGAGGUACGAAAGCGUGGGGAGCAAACAGGAUUAGAUACCCUGGUAGUCCACGCCGUAAACGAUGAUAACUAGCUGUCGGGGCUCUUGGAGCUUCGGUGGCGCAGCUACGACAUUAAGUUAUCCGUCCGUCGGGUAGGUACGGCCGGCGAACGGUUAAAACGUAACAAGGAAGUUAGACGGCGUGAGACGUGCCGAACGGACGACGACCGAGGGGAGGUAGG
rnacentral:rRNA from 1 species